UACGUAGGGUGCGAGCGUUGUCCGGAAUUAUUGGGCGUAAAGAGCUCGUAGGCGGUGUGUCGCGUCGGCCGUGAAAACCUGCAGCUUAACUGUGGGCGUGCGGUCGAUACGGGCAUCACUGGAGUUCGGCAGGGGAGACUGGAAUUCCUGGUGUAGCGGUGAAAUGCGCAGAUAUCAGGAAGAACACCCGUGGCGAAAGCGGCUCUCUGGAACGGUACUGACGCUGAGACGCGAAAGCGUGGGGAGCGAACAGG
rnacentral:rRNA from 1 species